UACGAAGGGUGCAAGCGUUAAUCGGAAUUACUGGGCGUAAAGCGUGCGUAGGCGGCUGGCUAAGUCAGAUGUGAAAGCCCUGGGCUCAACCUGGGAAUGGCAUUUGAAACUGGCCGGCUAGAGUGUGAUAGAGGAUGGCGGAAUUCCCGGUGUAGCGGUGAAAUGCGUAGAGAUCGGGAGGAACAUCCGUGGCGAAGGCGGCCAUCUGGAUCAACACUGACGCUGAGGCACGAAAGCGUGGGGAGCAAACAGG
rnacentral:rRNA from 1 species